rnacentral:rRNA from 1 species
UACGUAGGACCCAAGCGUUAUCCGGAAUCACUGGGCGUAAAGCGAAUGUAGGCGGCGCGUUAAGUGUAAUGCGAAAUCCUGUGGCUCAACCAUAUGGACUGUAUUGCAUACUGGCGUGCUUGAGGAUGGCAGAGGCAAGUGGAAUUACUCGUGUAGCAGUGAAAUGCGUAGAUAUGAGUAGGAACACCAAUGGCGAAGGCAGCUUGCUGGGCCACACCUGACGCUGAGAUUCGAAAGCGUGGGGAGCGAACAGG